UACGGAGGGUGCAAGCGUUGCUCGGAAUUACUGGGCGUAAAGCGUACGCAGGCUGCUUGCCAAGUCGGGUGUGAAAUCCCGGGGCUCAACCCCGGAAUUGCGCCCGAAACUGGCGAGCUUGAGUGCGGGAGAGGGAAGCGGAAUUCCUGGUGUAGAGGUGAAAUUCGUAGAUAUCAGGAGGAACACCGGUGGCGAAAGCGGCUUCCUGGCCCGACACUGACGCUCAUGUACGAAAGCGUGGGGAGCAAACAGG
rnacentral:rRNA from 1 species